UACGGAGGGUGCGAGCGUUGUCCGGAAUCAUUGGGCGUAAAGGGCGCGUAGGUGGCUUCUUAAGCGUGCGGUGAAAGCCUGGGGCUCAACCCCGGGUCGGCCGUGCGAACUGGGGGGCUGGAGCACUGUAGAGGCAGGCGGAAUUCCGGGUGUAGCGGUGGAAUGCGUAGAGAUCCGGAAGAACACCGGUGGCGAAGGCGGGUCUCUGGGCCGAUAUUGACGCUGAGGUGCGAAAGCGUGGGGAGCAAACAGG
rnacentral:rRNA from 1 species